GGAAGAAUAUUGGUCAAUGGGGGGAACCCUGAACCAGCAAUGCCGCGUGAAGGAAGAAGGCCUUCGGGUUGUAAACUUCUGUGACGGGGGACGAAGAAAGUGACGGUACCCCGAGAGGAAGCCCCGGCAAACUACGUGCCAGCAGCCGCGGUAAUACGUAGGGGGCGAGCGUUGUCCGGAAUUACUGGGCGUAAAGCGCGCGUAGGCGGCGAUAUAAGUCGUCUGUGAAAGACCCGGGCUCAACCUGGGGAGUGCAGGCGAAACUAUAUUGCUUGAGUGCGGUAGAGGGAAGUGGAAUUCCUAGUGUAGCGGUGAAAUGCGCAGAUAUUAGGAGGAACACCAGUGGCGAAGGCGACUUUCUGGGCCGCAACUGACGCUGAUGCGCGAAAGCGUGGGGAGCAAACAGG
rnacentral:rRNA from 1 species